GACGAACGCUGGCGGCGUGCUUAACACAUGCAAGUCGAACGGAAAGGCCCUGCUUUUGUGGGGUGCUCGAGUGGCGAACGGGUGAGUAACACGUGAGUAACCUGCCCUUGACUUUGGGAUAACUUCAGGAAACUGGGGCUAAUACCGGAUAGGAGCUCCUGCUGCAUGGUGGGGGUUGGAAAGUUUCGGCGGUUGGGGAUGGACUCGCGGCUUAUCAGCUUGUUGGUGGGGUAGUGGCUGACCAAGGCUUUGACGGGUAGCCGGCCUGAGAGGGUGACCGGCCACAGUGGGACUGAGAUACGGCCCAGACUCCUACGGGAGGCAGCAGUGGGGAAUAUUGCACAAUGGGCGGAAGCCUGAUGCAGCAACGCCGCGUGCGGGAUGACGGCCUUCGGGUUGUAAACCGCUUUCGCCUGUGACGAAGCGUGAGUGACGGUAAUGGGUAAAGAAGCACCGGCUAACUACGUG
rnacentral:rRNA from 1 species